UGUUGUGUUUGUGUUUAUUUUUUAUUAAUGGUUUAUGGCUGAUAAUUUUGUAUUGGUAAUUUUUCUGUGAUUUAUUAUGGGACACGAACAAUAAAAAAGUAAUUUUUACACAGGAUCGGCUCCUGUAUUAUCUUAAGAACUGGUCAAACAUCAACCAUGGCGGAGGCUCCGGAAUCUUCCACAGUGUUCGUGGACGUGGCCUCUGAGGCGAUGUACCCCAUAGCGCCGGAGGUGGUUGAGGAGCCUAAACCAGAACCUGAUAUGAGUGAAAUCGGACCGCUGCUGGUAGAAAAAAACGCCACAAACACAGCUCGUCUCCGCUGCCCAGACUGCAAGCGGUACACAGCUACCACAGAAGAGAAGAUGUUAAGACACAUCCGUAAGACGCACCGAGGAGAGAACCCGUUCCAAUGUUAUAUGUGUGAUUACUCCACAUAUAAUAAGGUUUUAUUCGAAGAGCAUGUGCGAAUACAUCAAGGCAUAAAACCCUACAAAUGUUCCUACUGUCCCUACCGCAGUGUUUCAAAGAAGAAUACCAAAAAACAUGAGUUAGUUCACCGGCCCGACAACCCUAGGAAAUGUGACCAAUGUGGCUUCAUAGCCAGGCAUGAGAAAGGGCUCAAACAUCAUCUGCGUAUCCAUGGUGACAAUGAAGAUCUAGAAUGUUCGCUGUGUAAACAAAGUUUCAGUGAUGUGGCGGGCUUCAAUAGUCAUAGGAAGUCAAAGAAAAGAUGCCCGGAAUGUAAAUCGAUGUUCUGCAAAUCGCUAAUAGCGAAGCAUAGACAAGAAGCGCACGGCGUGGUCGGAGAGAAGAAAACAAGCAAAAAGUCUUUAACCAAAAAGAAUUUGUUCACUUGCGCUAUAUGCCAGUGGGAGGGGAAUACUAAGCCAAGGAUAUUACUGCAUUUGAUACACCAUCCUGAUCAAGAAAAAGAAAUGUCAUCGAAAAGUUCUAAGAAAACUACAAAUCCUAAUCCGAGAAUUAGACCAUUGGAACCGAUCAUAACUCGAACAAAAUCAGCCCAGCAACGACGCCAACUAAGAAACAAACCAGACAAGAAAACCGAAAAACCGAAACUUACUAAACCGGAAAUAAAAUCGCCUAAAACCAUCAAACCUGUGAUACGCUCGAAAGAGGCUCUACUUAAGGAACCUGUGAAGAGUUCCGUUGAAGAAGUAGAACAAGUAGAGUAUUAUCCAAAUAAGUUGAAACGCAAACUUUGUACUAAGAAAAUUAUGUUGAAACCUAAACAUAAUUUUAAAGUUGUUGCUGCUACUAAUAAGAGGAAGCUGGCAACACCAAAGAGAGGUCUCAAAUCACCAUCCAGCAAACAGGGUUCACCUCGUAAGCUCCUUUCACCGAAGAGGCCAAAACAAGUUUGUAACAGCCCGGAACUGACCAUGCAGGACAUGGUGAGACUCGUUGAGGAGACGAGGAGUCUCAGUGAUGAGGACUUCAUGGAGAUCCUGACGUGUCCCAGCCCGGUGUGGUGGGAAGACCCACCUGAUGGAGGUUAUGAUGAGGGUAAGUCAUAUCUAUACUAAUAUUAUAAAGCUGAAGAGUUUGUUUGUUUGUUUGAACGCGCUAAUCUCAGGAACUACUGGUCCGAUUUGAAAAUUUCUUUCAGUGUUAGAUAGCCCAUUUAUCGAGGAAGGCUAUAGGCUACUUUUUAUCCCGGUACGGGAAGUAGUUCCCACGGGAUGCGGGUGAAACCGCUGGCAGAAGCUAGUAAUAUAUAA
rnacentral:misc_RNA from 1 species